GAGAAGUAAGGCCUGGUGGCUGCUAAGGAGGUGCUCGCCGGCGAGCGGGCUCCGGCGGCCGCCUAGCGCGCGGAGUUGGAUCGGGGCGCAUCCCCGCGGCCGUGGUUGUACUCGCUACGCCGCCUGCCCAAAAGAACCGGUGCUCCCCGCCGCCUGCCUCUCUUACCCAUGUGAAGCUACCACUCCCUUCCUCCUCCGCCAGCCCCAAGAGUGCCCACCCCGUUGCCCGGUCGGCUGCACCAGCGCCUUGCCGGUGGCGCUCGUCGGCCCUCCCCGCCGGCCCCGCGCCGUGCCCGUCGUCUCCUCAAUCUGUUGUCAGGGGACAUGCCAGCGCCCUCCCAGUGGCCCUCGCCGGCCCUCCCCGCCGUCCCCGUGUCGUAUCCGCCAUCUCCCCAAUCCGCAGCUAGAGGACACGCCAAGAAGCUUCAGUCAUGAGGCCGUCGCGCCGGAGGUCUUCCAUCUCAGAUUUGUUUUCUUUACGGGUGUUGUCAAGAAUUUCAUCAUGGCCACUGCUUUCCCACCGAGGUAUUUGCCGCACGCAGCCAUGCACAAGUGUCGUCACUUGCAUCUCCUCUGUGCGUUCCCGUCACUCCAUGCUGCACGAGGCUGCAGUCACCACACCCUUGAGUAGGUAAUUCAUCAAUUGAUAGUUUUUGUCCCUGCCGUGACUUGCAUCUUUCUACCUUGCUUCAAAUUUAAUUUGAUUGAAUGUCAAAUAAAGAUCAACUUUAUCUCUGAUUGAUUCAUGGAAGUGCAAGCUGAAUUAUAUUCAGGAUAUUCUGAUUAUUACUUCCAAGUUAUAUUCUAACACAAUGUCUUUGGUUUAACAACUUGCAAGUGUUUCUUGUACUGAUGUUAACCUCAUAAAAAAGACUCCCAGGUGGACAUCUGCUAUAAAUAAUCAGGUACUUCUUUCUCAUUAUCAAAUUCGAAUGCUCAGUGAAACUAUCCAAUGGAUGGACUGGUUGUUUAACACUGAAUCAUCAACACUUUAUUCUCAUCUUAUCUCCUCUUCCAUUCACUGAAACAUCUGCAGUGCACGCUUGUUACUUCUUUGACUGCUUGAACAUAAAUAUUGAGAAAACUCAAUUUUCUAUGGGCAUGAAUAAUCUUUCGAUUCAUACAUAAAAUCAAAAUGUGGUUCCAGUUCCAGGAGGUAUGGCAUGAUUUCUCUGCUGGCGUGUGUGUGUGUUGCUUGUUUGUCUGUUGCCGGCUGGAUUGCACAGCGGCGAUGCCGGGAGCCGGGGGUCAUUGGAAAAGUGAGAUGCCGACGUCACUCAAAACGAUCCUUGCAUGGUAUUGACAGAAUCAUCCACAAAUUAUUUGAUGGCAUUGACCCUUGCUUGGCACGUGCUUGGCAUUGACUGAAUCCUACAUUGGCGAGCUUGUAUCCCGACCAACCUCUUUGUCUUCAUUCUUUUUUAGAAGCUAACUCACUUGGUUUGUGCGCUCCAAUUUGCAUAUAGAGAGGUUCAGAUGUCUGGCCAGCUAGGCACUGCCUAUUUCUCUAAACCUGAAAAUUCAAAAAUCACUUUAGUUUUCACUAACACAGCUAGGGCCAACACCUGCUAUCAAAAGAGCCUCAACAGUGGACGGGGUGGCGGAGUAGUCACGUACCAACAAUACAGUAACUGCUAGCUAUACUUCUGGAGCAAAUUCUUUGUCGUAGUCAUCAGGCCGCAGAUGGCGUUGCCGGGAUACACGCCCACCAAGGUCUCCGGCCAUAUAGGCCCGUGAGGGAUCCAGGGUGUUGCUCUAUGCAGCAUCAUGACCACAAUGGUGACUUUGUUUUGAAAAUACUAUUUGAAUGGCAUCACAACAUUGAGUACAUAUUUUUUUUCAACAGUUGCUUUAUUUUUAUACCAUGUGAAUCUCCCUGGGUUAGCGCUUGAGACGUGCGUUACACACGGUUAAUUUUUCACGAUUUAUUGUUGUUGCUAUUUCCCACGAGGUACUUGAUAAAAAGUGUUCGGCGUGUGGUGCUCUUCAAUGACUUGUUCUCUUUUGAAGAGCAAGCAGUAGAGCAUGAGAGUGCCGUGAUCCUCCAAAUUCCUGCUCGCUUCUAUACCCGUAUAUCUGUUAUUUUUGAUUGAUUUUAUUCCCUUGAAUGCUACAUAAGAGGUGUCUUUGCAGAGCUUAAGAACAAUUUAUUUGGUUGGAGCUAACUAAUACUGUAUUGCAAAGGGCCAGACAGCCAACCAACUACAAAUGGACUGCCCGAAUUUAUCCAUGUGUUGGAAUAGAUGAUAUUUGAUGAUUUGAACCUUGCAACGGGGUGUGAGACAUCAGCAUGCUCUGUACAUAAGCAGGGAGUUCAGGGGCAGAACUGAAGGUAGACUCGGGUGCAGUUAUCCACUCCUACUUGCUUUCACUAGAACAGCAUAUUACACUAUGAAAGCAAGAUCAUGCACUGGCAUCGGUUUUAUUACUCCACAGAUGUGGGUCAUCGGCCAUGACAAAAUAUGGGAUAACAAAUAUUAUGGAUACAAGAUGGCAACAUAAACUUCGCAAUUUUAUGAUUUGUGAUCUUGUAGAUUUUUGCCAUGCGGAGGACAAAUGAUUCUGGCUAUAUGCACUGGAGUUUAAUCCAUGUAAAUUUGGAGAAUCAUAUGUGUUUGAGAUGAUUUGAGAGUGCCCUUACCGGCCGUGUAGGUCCACGGUAAUUCAAUUGUUCUGAUUUGUGUUCCUUUUUUACUUAACGGAGAUGUAUUUUCACUAUUAAGUGUAAUAAUUAAUAACUAUUGGAUGU